rnacentral:misc_RNA from 1 species
UCCCUCUUGUCGUGUGUGUACUGGACGCGGUGCCGAGAAAUAUUUUUUUUCCGUUCAAGUUCCUUAGGUACAGCUGACAUUUUCCAAUCGGCUGGUGAUUAGUUUUAAGUGUACAGCUUGAGGUCGAAAACUCUUCAUUGAUAUCAACGGACAAGGCCGGCUAGAUGCGAAAAACACGAUCCCAAACGCAAGCAGAAAAUGCUACCACAACGACCGGACCGAGUCCGCCAUCUCGCGCGGAAUUUAAUGAAGUGCGGAACAUGGUAAUGUGUUUUCGUGUUUUUAAUCUUCAGCGAAUACUCACACAACUGAAUGCGUUUAGUCAAGCUCGCAAAAGUGAGUUACAGAUGCGCGUUAUUGAACUGCUAGAACGGAAUUUUCACGAAGUAGCCCCGAAAAUUCGAGAAAUCUAUAAAUCGUGUUCAAGCGAAGAUCGCAAUUCACCGUCUGAUUUUGGUGCACCUGAUCCAAAGAGAAUGUAUCAACCGCAGUUGCAAUUGCCGGUUCAACCCACCACACCUCUCGUCCCCAAUCAGAUGGUUAUACCAUUUCCCGGGGGAAUACAACCUAAUUUUCCAAUACAUCCCGAUGUCAGACUGAAAAAGUUAGCUUUCUAUGACAUUUUAGCCACAUUAAUACAACCCAAAUCAUUAGUACCUACAAAUACACAAAGAGUACAAGAGUCCGUACAUCAUUUCACAUUGACACCGCAGCAGGCGACGGACAUUGCUAGCAAUCGCGAUAUACGCAAUGGAUCGAAAAUUGAGCAUACAAUUCAGGUUCAGUUGAGAUUCUGCCUGUUGGAGACAUCGUGCGAACAGGAUGAUUGCUUCCCGCCGAGUAUUAUAGUUAAAGUUAAUAAUAAGCUGUGUCCCUUACCGAAUCCUAUUCCAACAAAUCGACCAAAUGUGGAGCCAAAACGGCCCCCACGGCCUGUGAAUGUUACCAGCAAUGUGAAACUAUCACCGACAGUCUCAAACAGCGUAUCGGUGCAAUGGUGUCCUGAUUUCACACGUGGCUAUGUUCUUGCGGCGUAUCUAGUUCGGAAAUUAACCUCUCAAGAGUUACUGCGUCGAAUGAAGGCGAAAGGCAUCAAACCCGCAGACUAUACGAGAGCGUUAAUUAAGGAAAAACUGAAUGAGGAUGCAGACUGUGAAAUCGCUACUACAAUGUUGAAAGUGUCAUUGAUAUGUCCGCUUGGAAAGAUGAGGAUGACAAUACCGUGCAGAGCAUCAACUUGCUCUCAUCUACAAUGCUUCGAUGCAUUAUUAUAUCUUCAAAUGAAUGAACGUAAACCGACAUGGAACUGUCCUGUUUGUGAUAAGCCCGCUGUAUAUGAAACUCUCGUAAUUGAUGGAUAUUUCCAAGAAGUGUUAGUGUCUCCACUGUUAACUGGUGACGAUAAUGAAAUUCAACUGCAUAAAGAUGGUUCGUGGAGUACGCAUGUGAUGCGCAGUGAAAGUCAAGUGUUGGAUACGCCCAGCAAACAUGUUCAUCACAAAGUUGAAGUCAUUUCGGAUGACUUAGAAGUAAUAACAACGGAACCUGAUCAGAAGAUCAUUCCCAAAUCGCUAGCAAGCAUUAAUCAACAACCAUCUAGCACUGAACCCAGUUCCACAAAUAACGAACCCACAUCUACAACUACCAGUGAUACGGUGGAUUUAACGUUAAGUGAUUCCGACGAUGAUUUACCGUUAAAACGUAAAACAACAACCAAAGCACCAACAUCGGUUGGCAACGGACAACAAAAAACAUCGGCAGUGACGUCGACGAAAACAAAACAAAACGAAUCUAACAUUAAAAAAGAUGAAGAAGAUAGCAACGGAAUGGAAUGGAUGGAGGUUACUGAGAAGAAAAGCUAAAAGCCUUUUUGCCUACUCAUAUAUGUGGGAAAAAGUGGAUUAAUAAAUGAUGUGGAUGUCAGAUCAGAGCCUGUAAAAAAUUAAAUGUGACUAAGUGAAAUAUAAUAAAGAAUCCAACAAUGGAUAAUGUCCCCUUCUACUCCCUCGUUGAAGUGUUUGUCCGCAAUCUCGACAAUAGUCUAAUUUGCAGAGAAAUAUAAUUUAAAAGAAAAAAUAGAAAAAAAAACAUUAAAUAGAAAAACGGAAACAAUUAAGAUUUUAUAUAAAUUAAUCAAAAGAAAUCAUUUCUUGUUCAUUAGUAAAAUAUGUUUAUGGAAAAAUUGACUUUACCGCUGUAAAUAUUAACUUGAAAUAGGAAAAAAGAGAAUGAAACGGGAAAAAACAACAAAAAAACACAAAUAAAAAUGUAGAAAUUGAAAAGAUAUUGCCCUUGACUCGGAUAUGUAUGUAUUUAAAUUAAACUUAACUGAAUGAGAUUAUCUAGAUGGAUGUAAAAAACAUUGAAGAAAAGAUUUUUAUUUAAUUUUAGAUCCAUUGUAUGUGAUGUUUAUUGUUUUGCUUUAAUUUCUGUAAUUGAGAUAAAUGUAAAAAAAGAAAAACAAAAAACAAGAAAAAUGUGAGAAAAUUUUUUUAGUAUGCUAUGGAUAAAAGAAAAUAUAGAUUAAUUUACAGGAAAAACUGAA